UGAUUUUUCCACUGGAUAAGUUGGUGCAC
rnacentral:piRNA from 1 species